CCUACGGGAGGCAGCAGUAGGGAAUCUUCCACAAUGGACGAAAGUCUGAUGGAGCAACGCCGCGUGAGUGAAGAAGGGUUUCGGCUCGUAAAGCUCUGUUGGUAGUGAAGAAAGAUAGAGGUAGUAACUGGCCUUUAUUUGACGGUAAUUACUUAGAAAGUCACGGCUAACUACGUGCCAGCAGCCGCGGUAAUACGUAGGUGGAAAGCGUUGUCCGUAUUUUUUGGGCGUAAAGCGAGUGCAGGUGUGUCAAUAAGUCGGAUGUGAAAGCCUUCGGCUCAAGGGGAGAAUUGCAUCAGAAACUGUUGAACUUGAGUGCAGAAGAGGAGAGUGGAACUCCAUGUGUAGCGGUGGAAUGCAUAGAUAUAAGGAAGAACAGCAGUGGCGAAGGCGGCUCUCGGGUCUGCAACUGACGCUGAGGCUCGAAAGCAUGGGUAGCGAACAGGAUUAGAUACCCGAGUAGUC
rnacentral:rRNA from 1 species